AGUUGCAAUUGAUGGCCCAGAACUGAAAGGGUCAUGCAAAGGAGUUGAGGCUUGGCACCAUGAGAGGCUAUUGGUGAAGCAUAGUUGCAGUGGAAGACAACAGUGAUUUGGAAAUGCCAGUACCAUGAGAUUACCACCAAGACCAGCAGCAGCUGUGGAGUACAGGCAACUGGAGCCUAGAAAACAAGGUUUCUUGAAUCAAGAAUUAAGCUUUCCCAGGUUGGCUUGAAUCAAGCUGCCAGUAGUCCACUAACCAUGGGACCCAAUGUUGUUUGAGAACGUAAACCCAUGUGCAUGAAAGACAAAUUAGGCAGUAAGAAAAUGAGGAUUUUGAAGCCCUCCAAUCAAGUAUGUUUUGCAGAGCCUGACAACAGCAUCACCUAAUAGCACUGAGAAUUGUACAAUGUUGGGGUUGAUGCUAGAUCCUGAACAAAAGAAAUCUGUUAGCACCUGGCAGCAACCCCAUUCUACUUCAAAGAAGAAUAUGAGUAUCCACGAAUAUCCUUAGGGAAUUUCCUUCAAAUGUUGCAAGCUGCUACUGGUCAAGAAACUGCCCUUGCCUCAAGCGUUGACAGUUUGCUGUCCAAGCUGUGAACAAGCAGGACACAAUGAAAAUAGAACUCUGCCAGGUCAAGGUAGAAAAGUCCAUCUUAAAUCCUGUUUCACAGACAAAUCUGUCAGAUAUCCAGGCCAGUGACCAGAAGAGAUGGGUGCUUCAACAUUGCAGAGGAGCCUUGGGUGACUGUCCAGGUGGCCAGCAGUCUCUGUCAUUUCUAUAGUUUUGAAAGCUGCUCUGCACUUCUUAUUUAUUUAGGUAAUAUUUAUCCUUCUUAGAUUCCUGAAUGGGUUGAAGAGUAGGAAGUAUCUUUUAUUUAGGGGAAAAAAAAGGGGGUAGGGGGAGACAUUUUAGGAGCACAUCUUGAAACUCAAAUUUGUGAACUGUAAAAGUCUGUUUCUAAGUGUGAUAUGGCUCAGCCUUUGGUCCUAGAGCUUGCGGUUUACUGUAAAUAAGUGCAUGUGGUUAGGUUCAGCCUCAGCACACACCUUUACUCCAAGAGCUAAAUAAAGUCAACUGUGGCUCAGGAACUGAAGCACUUGACCUGCUGACAGGGAGUGAACAUACUUAAAGGCAAAGGAGAGACCUUGAAGAGGAAGAUAUUUAAGACAGUGCCUACAAGGAAAAAGGCACUUCUGCUUCUGUGAUGUUGGUGGAUAGGAGGGUUUCCUGGGUGCUUUCUUGUCUAGCAGACUUUGACAGCAGGAUCUGGAUUUUGAGUCUUCCUUUAAUAAAAAUCUAACGACUGGAAUUUUCAUUGUUUGAAACAACAAGAAAUUGGAAGCUUUCUGAAAAGCAUUGCCACUCCUCUCAAACAGAUCUGCGAAUAUGUUGCACGAUAAAACUGGGUAACUUGAGUACAGUUAGCUAUUAGAGAGAAUAGAAAAGUAGACGUAUGGUUACCUAGGCAAUCCAUGGAAAGGGAAUAAGAGAAGAAAUUAUUAAGAUGCCUUUAGAGUAGACUGGCUUUAGAGUCAGCCAUAGUGGAGCAAGUAUAAUGGCUGGUGUUUUUAAGCUUCUGGUCAAUAAUUUUAAUAAUUACCCUCCUUAAAAGUACCAGCAUUGAGACUAUUUCUAAGCUCACUGAGUUCAUCACUGUUAAGAUCUAGGUAAAGUAUUAAGAUCCAGAUGGAAUAUUAAAGCCUAGGUAAAAUGUUAAGGUUUAUGGAACUGUUUUCUGGAUACCCUGCCAUUCUGUUUUCUUACUAAUAUUAUAAAGAGAUGUUUUCAUUUGUUGUUUCUGAUGUUACUAGGAACAUUUCUCAUGGCUAAGUUGACUACAUUUUUCAUUAUGUUCUAUGCCCUUGGAAACCAAUCAAAAGAGAAGUCAGUAAACUGCUUUGCUUAGUUACCCACAAUAAGCUUAGACCUGAACCAACUACCUAGCAGCACUUUCUGCACCUGGGUGUAAAGUUUUAUGGUACUUGCUUUUAUAUGCUACCUCUGGGAUAGACCCCACAUACAAAAGACACCUACACUAAUAUAAUAAGCUAUUUGGAAUAAGACAUCCAUUUUGAUUAGGGUUCAAAUAAAGUUUACAUUUCCAAGACCUCCAUAGGAAUUGACAUUCUAUUUGGGAGAAAGAGACAUGUAUGUGGUAUAUAGACUUGGAUACCAAACAUCCUGGUUGUCAAGCUAAGAAAUAGAUGUCAAACAACUCUCACCAUGGUUAACAAGUUAAGACAUAAAUGUUAGACAAGGACAGUCCACUGCCACAGUUGACUACUCUAAGCAAUGGGAGCAGGAUAAGCAUACAACACAGACAUGUUCCUAAGAAAGUUGAAAUCUCAUUUAGACACUCUCUCCACAGAAUGUCUUGUUGUGGGUCUCUUUAUUUGUUUCAAAGCAAAGAUCAUUUGUGGUUUUAGAAAAAUGUAAGAUGUAAAAGCAAUAAAAUGAAUAAAAGUGGAGAUAAUCGACACUC
ensembl:lincRNA Gm20356 predicted gene, 20356